AUACUUACCUGGCAGGGGAGAUACCAUGAUCAUGAAAGUGGUUUUCCCAGGGUGAGGCUCAUCCAUUGCACUUCAGGUGUGCUGAUCUCUGUGAUUUCCCCAAAUGUGGGAAAAUCAACUGCAUAAUUUGUGGUAGUGGGGGACUGCGUUUGUACUUUACCCUG
rnacentral:snRNA from 1 species